CUGGGUGUGUCCAGUUUUACCCCAGGUGUGUCCUGGGUGUGCCUCAGGUGCAUCCAGGUGUGUCCCAGGUGUGUCACAGUGUGCUUCAGGUGUGCCCAGGUGUGUCCCAAGUGUGCCCAGUUCUACCCCGGUGUGCCAAGGUGUUCUCAGGUGAAAUCCAGGUGUAUCCCAGCUGUGCCCAGGUGUCCCCAGGUGUGCCCAGUUCCACCCAGGUGUACCCAGGUGUACCCUGGUAUAAUUCAGCUGUGCCCAGGUGUAUCCCAGGUGUACUCCAGGUUUAUUCCAGGUGUGCCCAGGUGUGCCCUGCUGUACCCUGGUGUGCCCAGGUGUAUCCAGGUGUGCCUAGGUGUAACUCAGCUGCAUUCAGAUGUAUCCCAGAUG